GGUCCGAUUGGAGCAGUACAGCCUCGUCCAGAACCAGGAUAAGUCCACUCCUAGGCUGUUACUGAGGAAGGUCCCACCGAUGGACGGCCCUCCAAGUUUCUCCUCCCCCAAGCUCAUCCAGGUAAGUAACUCUCACUCCUCUUCUGUCUCUCCCUCUUUCUCUCCCUCUCCUCCUGUCUCUCAAAGAAAAAAAAAAAAAAAAAAAAAAAGAGAGAAAAAAGAAAAAAGAAAGAAAGAAAAAAAGGAAAAAAAGACAAAAAGAAAGAAAGAAAAAAGAAAAGAAAGAAAGAAAAAAAAAGAAUUAAAAAAGAAAGAAAGAAAAAAUGAAAAAAGAAAAAAGAAAGAGAAAAAAAGAAAGAAAAAUGAAAAAGAAAGAAAGAAAAAAAAGAAAGAAAAAGAAAGAAAGAAAGAAAAACGAAAAAAGAAAGAAAGAAAAAGAAAAAAGAAAAGAAAGAAAGAAAAAAGAAAAAAAAGAAAAAAAGAAAAGAAAAAAGAAAAGAAAGAAAAAAAGAAAAAAGAAAGAAAAAAGAAAAGAAAGAAAGAAAAAAGAGAAAAAAGAAAGAAAGAAAGAAAAAAAAAGAAAGAAAGGACCUCGGUCCUUGUCCACAGCUUCCACUGUUCCUGUCCCAGGCCGAUGAUGAAGAGGGUCACGGCAACACCCAUGUCCUGUUCCAAGCCUCGCUGUGUAAGUAGGAAACCACACUGACAACACAGAUAGGCCAUUAAUUUCAAAGAUGUGAAACCUUCCCCUAAAAAAUCAUUUCUGCAAACUUCAGAUUUUAUAAUUUGUCGGUUUUUCUUUCUCAGGUCCGAUUGGAGCAGUACAGCCUCGUCCAGAACCAGGAUAAGUCCACUCCUAGGCUGUUACUGAGGAAGGUCCCACCGAUGGGCGGCCCUCCAAGUUUCUCCUCCCCCAAGCUCAUCCAGGUAAGUAACUCUCACUCCUCUUCUGUCUCUCCCUCUUUCUCUCCCUCUCCUCCUGUCUCUCAAAGAAAAAAAGAAAAAAGAAAGAAAAAAAAGAGAGAAAAAAGAAAGAAAGAAAAAAAGGAAAAAAAGACAAAAAGAAAGAAAGAAAAAAGAAAAGAAAGAAAGAAAAAAAAGAAUUAAAAAAGAAAGAAAGAAAAAAAUGAAAAAAGAAAAAAGAAAAAGAAAGAGAAAAAAGAAAGAAAAAAGAAAAAGAAAGAAAGAAAAAAAGAAAGAAAAAGAAAGAAAAAAAGACAGAAAAACGAAAAAAGAAAGAAAGAAAAAAGAAAAGAAAGAGGGAAAAAAGAAAAAAGAAAAGAAAGAAAAAAAAAGAAAAAAAGAAAAAAGAAAGAAAAAAAGAAAAGAAAGAAAGAAAAAAGAGAAAAAAGAAAGAAAAAAAAGAAAGAAAGGACCUCGGUCCUUGUCCACAGCUUCCACUGUUCCUGUCCCAGGCCGAUCAUGAAGAGGGUCAUGGCAACACCCAUGUCCUGUUCCAAGCCUCGCUGUGUAAGUAGGAAACCACACUGACAACAUAGAUAGGCCAUUAAUUUCAAAGAUGUGAAACCUUCCCCUAAAAAAUCAUUUCUGCAGACUUCAGAUUUUAUAAUUUGUCGGUUUUUCUUUCUCAGGUCCGAUUGGAGCAGUACAGCCUCGUCCAGAACCAGGAUAAGUCCACUCCUAGGCUGUUACUGAGGAAGGUCCCACCGAUGGGCGGCCCUCCAAGUUUCUCCUCCCCCAAGCUCAUCCAGGUAAGUAACUCUCACUCCUCUUCUGUCUCUCCCUCUUUCUCUCCCUCUCCUCCUGUCUCUCAAAGAAAAAAAGAAAAAAGAAAGAAAAAAAAGAGAGAAAAAAGAAAAAAGAAAGAAAGAAAAAAAGGAAAAAAAGACAAAAAGAAAGAAAGAAAAAAGAAAAGAAAGAAAGAAAAAAAAGAAAGAAAAAAGAAAGAAAGAAAAAAUGAAAAAAGAAAGAGAAAAAAAGAAAGAAAAAAGAAAAAGAAAGAAAGAAAGAAAAAGAAAGAAAAAAAGACAGAAAAACGAAAAAAGAAAGAAAGAAAAAAGAAAGAAAGAAAAAAGAAAAGAAAGAAAGAAAAAAAGAAAGAAAAAAGAAAAGAAAGAAAAAAAAAGAAAAAAAGAAAGAAAAAAAGAAAAGAAAGAAAGAAAAAAAGAAAUAAGUGAGAAAAAAAGAUGAAAGAAAGAAAAAAAAGAAAGAAAGGACCUCGGUCCUUGUCCACAGCUUCCACUGUUCCUGUCCCAGGCCGAUCAUGAAGAGGGUCACGGCAACACCCAUGUCCUGUUCCAAGCCUCGCUGUGUAAGUAGGAAACCACACUCACAACACAGAUAGGCCAUUAAUUUCAAAGAUGUGAAACCUUCCCCUGGAAAAAUCAUUUCUGCAGACUUCAGAUUUUAUAAUUUGUCGGUUUUUCUUUCUCAGGUCCGAUUGGAGCAGUACAGCCUCGUCCAGAACCAGGAUAAGUCCACUCCUAGGCUGUUACUGAGGAAGGUCCCACCGAUGGACGGCCCUCCAAGUUUCUCCUCCCCCAAGCUCAUCCAGGUAAGUAACUCUCACUCCUCUUCUGUCUCUCCCUCUUUCUCUCCCUCUCCUCCUGUCUCUCAAAGAAAAAAAGAAAAAAGAAAGAAAAAAAAGAGAGAAAAAAAAAGAAAGAAAGAAAAAAAGGAAAAAAAGACAAAAAGAAAGAAAGAAAAAAGAAAAGAAAGAAAGAAAAAAAAAAUUAAAAAAGAAAGAAAGAAAAAAUGAAAAAAGAAAAAAGAAAGAGAAAAAAAGAAAGAAAAAUGAAAAAGAAAGAAAGAAAAAAAAGAAAGAAAAAGAAAGAAAGAAAGAAAAACGAAAAAAGAAAGAAAGAAAAAGAAAAAAGAAAAGAAAGAAAGAAAAAAGAAAAAAAGAAAAGAAAAAAGAAAAGAAAGAAAAAAAGAAAAAAGAAAGAAAAAAGAAAAGAAAGAAAGAAAAAAGAGAAAAAAGAAAGAAAGAAAGAAAAAAAAAGAAAGAAAGGACCUCGGUCCUUGUCCACAGCUUCCACUGUUCCUGUCCCAGGCCGAUGAUGAAGAGGGUCACGGCAACACCCAUGUCCUGUUCCAAGCCUCGCUGUGUAAGUAGGAAACCACACUGACAACACAGAUAGGCCAUUAAUUUCAAAGAUGUGAAACCUUCCCCUAAAAAAUCAUUUCUGCAAACUUCAGAUUUUAUAAUUUGUCGGUUUUUCUUUCUCAGGUCCGAUUGGAGCAGUACAGCCUCGUCCAGAACCAGGAUAAGUCCACUCCUAGGCUGUUACUGAGGAAGGUCCCACCGAUGGGCGGCCCUCCAAGUUUCUCCUCCCCCAAGCUCAUCCAGGUAAGUAACUCUCACUCCUCUUCUGUCUCUCCCUCUUUCUCUCCCUCUCCUCCUGUCUCUCAAAGAAAAAAAGAAAAAAGAAAGAAAAAAAAGAGAGAAAAAAGAAAGAAAGAAAAAAAGGAAAAAAAGACAAAAAGAAAGAAAGAAAAAAGAAAAGAAAGAAAGAAAAAAAAGAAUUAAAAAAGAAAGAAAGAAAAAAAUGAAAAAAGAAAAAAGAAAAAGAAAGAGAAAAAAAGAAAGAAAAAAGAAAAAGAAAGAAAGAAAAAAAAGAAAGAAAAAGAAAGAAAAAAAGACAGAAAAACGAAAAAAGAAAGAAAGAAAAAAAGAAAAGAAAGAGGGAAAAAAGAAAAAAGAAAAGAAAGAAAAAAAAAGAAAAAAAGAAAAAAGAAAGAAAAAAAGAAAAGAAAGAAAGAAAAAAGAGAAAAAAGAAAGAAAAAAAAGAAAGAAAGGACCUCGGUCCUUGUCCACAGCUUCCACUGUUCCUGUCCCAGGCCGAUCAUGAAGAGGGUCAUGGCAACACCCAUGUCCUGUUCCAAGCCUCGCUGUGUAAGUAGGAAACCACACUGACAACAUAGAUAGGCCAUUAAUUUCAAAGAUGUGAAACCUUCCCCUAAAAAAUCAUUUCUGCAGACUUCAGAUUUUAUAAUUUGUCGGUUUUUCUUUCUCAGGUCCGAUUGGAGCAGUACAGCCUCGUCCAGAACCAGGAUAAGUCCACUCCUAGGCUGUUACUGAGGAAGGUCCCACCGAUGGGCGGCCCUCCAAGUUUCUCCUCCCCCAAGCUCAUCCAGGUAAGUAACUCUCACUCCUCUUCUGUCUCUCCCUCUUUCUCUCCCUCUCCUCCUGUCUCUCAAAGAAAAAAAGAAAAAAGAAAGAAAAAAAAGAGAGAAAAAAGAAAAAAGAAAGAAAGAAAAAAAGGAAAAAAAGACAAAAAGAAAGAAAGAAAAAAGAAAAGAAAGAAAGAAAAAAAAGAAAGAAAAAAGAAAGAAAGAAAAAAUGAAAAAAGAAAGAGAAAAAAAGAAAGAAAAAAGAAAAAGAAAGAAAGAAAGAAAAAGAAAGAAAAAAAGACAGAAAAACGAAAAAAGAAAGAAAGAAAAAAGAAAGAAAGAAAAAAAGAAAAGAAAGAAAGAAAAAAAGAAAGAAAAAAGAAAAGAAAGAAAAAAAAAGAAAAAAAAGAAAGAAAAAAAGAAAAGAAAGAAAGAAAAAAAGAAAUAAGUGAGAAAAAAAGAUGAAAGAAAGAAAAAAAAGAAAGAAAGGACCUCGGUCCUUGUCCACAGCUUCCACUGUUCCUGUCCCAGGCCGAUCAUGAAGAGGGUCACGGCAACACCCAUGUCCUGUUCCAAGCCUCGCUGUGUAAGUAGGAAACCACACUCACAACACAGAUAGGCCAUUAAUUUCAAAGAUGUGAAACCUUCCCCUGGAAAAAUCAUUUCUGCAGACUUCAGAUUUUAUAAUUUGUCGGUUUUUCUUUCUCAGGUCCGAUUGGAGCAGUACAGCCUCGUCCAGAACCAGGAUAAGUCCACUCCUAGGCUGUUACUGAGGAAGGUCCCACCGAUGGACGGC